AUUAUUUUGAAAAAGAAGUGCUCUAGUUUGAUCUAAUAAGUGUCCAUUUUUCCUUUCUGCAAUCCCAUUUUUUUGGGGGUGUGUUUACACAUGAGGAUUCAUGGAUUAUUUCUUCCUUUUAACAAAAAGAAUUUAGAGUAUGAUUGAAGUAAUCUUUGGCAUUAUCAGACCUAAUUAUUUUUAUAUUAACCCCAAAUUGAUUUUUAAUCAUUGAAACAAACUGUAGAAAAACAGAUUGGACCUCAGAUUUGUGUUUAAGAAGGAAAAUCCAUGUUACCCUUGUACAAUCAUCUAUAAAGGUUAUAAACCAUUUAGCCCCUGAAGUACUAGGAAUAUUCGAGGGACCCCACACAUAUGUAUGAACAAGAUAAAAUGGAGAAUUGCUUACUUUGUUGCUGAUAGGAAAAGGUACAUGCUUGUGUUUGGCAAGCUCACACACCUCACAAUGAAGAUCUUCUAGAUUUAGAUUUUUAAACAAGGAAAUAUUAACUUUAUGACCCGAAAUGAAGGAUGUCCCAAAAAACAAUGAAACAAUUGGAUUUUUUCUUUGUUGGCCAUGGAGGAUUCAGAUAUUAGAGAGUGACUCUCAAUGGGCAGACUCAAAUCUUCCAUAUAGUAAAGGCCAUUCCAUUCUCUAGCAUGUCCAAUCAUCCUCCCUGACUUCUUGUCCUGCAAUAUACAAGAGUUGCUAUGAAAAACCAAAUUACAUAAUAGGUCCUUGGUAAGUUUUUGUAUAGGGACAUGAAGAACAUUUUUUAGUAUCAUGUUUGGGGUUAUUUGGACAUCUCCUUGUCCAGCUGCAGUGAUGAGGGUUCCAUCAGCAGUAGAAAAUUUCUUGUUGUUGGACAUAAGGAAUAUGUGGAGAACUGUUUAGGGAAUGGUGUCAUAUGGUCUGUGGCUCCAGAGUCUAGUAUCAAAUAGUGGGUAAAUGGGGUAUUUGAGACAUUAAAUCCACAAGAAAAUGGGAACUUACCAGAGUAUGUCAAUGAACAUGUACAUAUGGGUUUUUCCAAUUUACUAAGAAAGGACCUUACUCUUUCUAACUCCUCAUGGUUGAGUUGUACAGAUCCUUCUUGACUUUCAGGACCAGCAACAACAUGAGCUUGCCCCCCUCUCCUUGGAAGGCCUCCUUUGUGUCCCUAAUCUUUGCUUUGAGGUUUUCCAUGUAACUUCCAGCAUUUGUCCCUUGUGGGACGUGGCUUGUUGCAAUAGGUGCACCAAACUCCUUCAUUUUUCUUCUCUGUUCUUGGAAAAGGGCAUACCUUUUUUUGUUCUGCAACCAUGGUUGUUGCUCCUUCAACAAUCAUAGCUGAAUUAUCCGCAAUUGGGGUCUCAAGCAUUAGACACCUUCUGCUUCUUCACUCCGAAUAAUUGCCAUUACUUCAUUGAGUCCAGGAACCUUCUCCUUGCCUAGUAUUUGGAUUCUUGGUUUAGGCCUACCAAGAAAUCAUACACUCGAUCUUGUUCAAUGUAUUCUCUUAGAAUUGUUGAAUCCUCAGAACACUUGGCCUUUAUGACCCUGUAAUGAUCUAAUUCCAUCCAUAAAGAUUUAAGUUGAUUAGCAUACUCUGUGACAGAUUUAGUGCCCUGUUUGGCUGCCAUUGUUUUCACUUUCACCUCAUAAAUCUGGGCAGCGUCCUUUGCCUUAGAGUAGGUUUGCUCUAUGGCAAUCCAUAUGGCCUUUGCAGAAGUGAGGAACAUGCAUGUAUUGCUAAUUUCUGGAACCAUUGAGUUCCAUAGCCAUGCCAUGAUCACGGAGUCUUCUUCGUCCCAUGACUUGAAUCUGGCAUCUUCUUCUGCAGGAGCAUCAUCAGUGAGAUGGGUGACCUUUCCUUUCCCUUUUAGAGUGGUCUUAACGAGUUGAGACCAUUUAAGAUAAUUUUUUCCAUUCAAUCGAUAAGCUCAAUGAAAAUUCUACAAUUCUCCAUUAUUCUGGAACUUGUCUACAUUUUCCAUUUCAGCCAUUACAAAAAUG
rnacentral:lncRNA from 1 species